rnacentral:rRNA from 1 species
AUUGAACGCUGGCGGCAUGCUUUACACAUGCAAGUCGAACGGCAGCGCGGGCUUCGGCCUGGCGGCGAGUGGCGAACGGGUGAGUAAUGCAUCGGAACGUGCCCAGUAGUGGGGGAUAGCCCGGCGAAAGCCGGAUUAAUACCGCAUACGACCUGAGGGUGAAAGCGGGGGACCGAAAGGCCUCGCGCUAUUGGAGCGGCCGAUGUCGGAUUAGCUAGUUGGUGGGGUAAAGGCUUACCAAGGCGACGAUCCGUAGCUGGUCUGAGAGGACGACCAGCCACACUGGGACUGAGACACGGCCCAGACUCCUACGGGAGGCAGCAGUGGGGAAUUUUGGACAAUGGGGGCAAGCCUGAUCCAGCCAUGCCGCGUGCGGGAAGAAGGCCUUCGGGUUGUAAAGCGCUUUUGUUCGGGAAGAAAACCUCUGGGCUAAUACCCCGGGGGGAUGACGGUACCGGAAGAAUAAGCACCGGCUAACUACGUG